AACGAACGCUGGCGGCGUGCCUAACACAUGCAAGUCGAACGCGAAAGGGGCGAACUCCCGGUAGCGUGGCAGACGGGUGAGUAACACGUGGGUAACCUACCCGGAGGUGGGGAUAACCCUUCGAAAGGAGGGCUAAUACCGCAUGACACCGCGGGGACCUCGGUCCUUGCGAUCAAAGCUGGCCUCUGUUUACAAGCUAGCGCCACCGGAUGGGCCCGCGCCCCACUUAG
rnacentral:rRNA from 1 species